UACGGAGGAUGCAAGCGUUAUCCGGAAUGAUUGGGCGUAAAGCGUCCGCAGGUGGCUAUGUAAGUCUGCUGUUAAAGAGUGAGGCUCAACCUCAUAAGAGCAGUGGAAACUACAUGGCUAGAGUGCGUUCGGGGCAGAGGGAAUUCCUGGUGUAGCGGUGAAAUGCGUAGAUAUCAGGAGGAACACCGGUGGCGAAGGCGGCUAUCUGGACAGGGUCUGACGCUGAGGCGCGAAAGCGUGGGGAGCAAACAGG
rnacentral:rRNA from 1 species